UACGUAGGGGGCUAGCGUUGUCCGGAAUCAUUGGGCGUAAAGCGCGUGUAGGCGGCCCGGUAAGUCCGCUGUGAAAGUCGGGGGCUCAACCCUCGAAUGCCGGUGGAUACUGUCGGGCUAGAGUACGGAAGAGGCGAGUGGAAUUCCUGGUGUAGCGGUGAAAUGCGCAGAUAUCAGGAGGAACACCCAUUGCGAAGACAGCUCGCUGGGACGUUACUGACGCUGAGACGCGAAAGCGUGGGGAGCAAACGGG
rnacentral:rRNA from 1 species